CUUAAGUGGUCCUGACCAUUAUUUUUCUACUUCCUAUUUCACAGAGGAGAUUCCAGAUUCAAACAGUUACUACCCUUAGAGAUCAGAUGUUUGGCUGAUUCAUUCAGUAAGCUACAACUUUCCUCACCGUGCUGGUUUUUCAAGUAGGAACUAGCUUCUAAACUUUUUCUUAUGAGAAGAAUUCUCAAAUGAGUAAAAGCUUCUCAUUCCCAAUCUUAUGUGGCUCCAGGAUUUUCACUGAAGGAAUAAUAAGGAAGGAGCCGGCGUGCAAUUAGAUUAACAAUCUUCCAAAGAAAGGACCAGGAGCUGAAUGACAGGAAAGAGAAGUUCAUUGGCACAUCAGAAGGCACAGAAAUGAAAUGCUUUGCCUAAGGUCACACAUGGUGGAAGAUAGCCCAAACCUCCUGAGUCCCAGUCCUCACAUCACAACUUCUUCUUGAUCAAGACAUGGAGGCCCGAGAGUUAUCCAAAAAGAUUUGCAAGAUUUUUUGUUGUUCUCAGUAAUUGCUGAACUACUUUUGAUCAAACUUUCCUAAAACCUUCACCCUUGGCCAAAGAUCCCAUCUGGAAAACGUCACCUAGAAAGCUCUACUCACGCCAUCAACACUUGAAAGACAAAGGAAGCAUCAUUGAGCUGGCAGAGGUGUCUGACUCAGAGGAAUCCAACCAGACUGCUGUAAUCAUACGACGUCUGGUUUCUCAUAUUGGAAGAGGCCAGCAUAAAGACGGCAACAACGUUCAGAUAAGCAGCCACAACACCUGAUGAAGAAAGAAACAGCUUUGGACUGAGGGAGGGAUCCUAUCUGAAAGGAAUUCAGCCAGGAAAGCUACCACCCCUCAUUCAGGUGCUACAAGAAUGUGGAGUUGGUUCUCCCUUUGGCAUGUGUACCUAAGUCCCAUCAGUCUCAACAUAAAUUCUGCAUGAAGGGGAGAAUAAACAUUGUAAAUUUUUAAACAGUCCAAGUGCCCGCUCCUAAUUGAACGUGGCUGCUGCGGAGAGCUGACUACAUCUUCAAAACACAGCUGUGUGACAGGUGAAGCAGCCCACAAUGAUAAAUGUUAGGUUUAGAACUUCAAGAUUACAACCUACUGAUGAACUGUCAUCGAAUGAGAUUCCAUUUUCCACUCCUGACGACAUUUUAAUUUUUACCUAUUUAAACCAGAGUUACCAAAAACAUUUUCCUACCAGGAACAGAUGCAGUAGAUGCACAUUUUUAAAAUAUUUAAUUCACAAACCAAUCUUGUUACCCAUGAAUGAGUAAAUAAAAGAUCCCUCUGAAAUCUCAGAAAUUUGUGUAUUAUGAGCCAGAUUCUUAGCUGGUGUAAAUUGAGGUUGAUUUAUGCUAGUUGAGAAUCUGAAUAUAUGUAUUAAUAGAGUUAAAUUAGUGGGGGGCGGAAGAUAAUGAAAGGUCCAUACAAAACAACAGGAUCUCAACUCCAUCGCUUUCUGAGAGAUUUCUAAUAUAUGAACCAGAUCCUGGUCUCAGUUAUAUUGGUAUAAAUCUGCAGUAAUUCCACUGAAAUCAUUUGGUCUCAGUCCAGAGUAGCUCCAUUGUUGAAUUUUUACUGAUAUAACUGAAAUCUGUGGAACAGAUGGAGUACCUAUUUUUCAUUCAUUUUGCAAAAUAUACUUGUCUCUCAGUCAAAGCAAAUGAAAUAUAUAUAUUUCUCCUAAUGUGAUGCAUGCAUCAUACGUAUAUCAUGUAAGUGUCAAUGUAUAUGUUUUGUCCCAUACAUCAAUCAAGCAAAUCACACAUUAAGGUUGAUCCUAUGUCUGUGUGUAGACUGCACUAUUGAACACAGAAUCUGACAUAGGUCUAGGGAAUGUACUUCCUAUGUGAAAGAAACUCAGGUAGUUUCCCCACAAAUUUUGGGUCAUCCAAACAGGGCCGGCUCCAAGGUUUUUGCCGCCCCAAGCAGCGCAAAAAAAAAAGAAAAAAGCCACGAUCGUGAUCUGCGGUGGCAAUUCGGCGGGAGGUCCUUCGCUCCAAGCCGGAGUGAGGGACCGUCCGCCAAAUUGCCGCCGGAUAGUUGGACCUGCCGCCCCUCUCUGGAGUGGCCGCCCCAAGCACCUGCUUGGCAAGCUGGUGCCUGGAGCCGGCCCUGCAUCCAAAAAUGAGAGGAGGCAUGCCCUCCCUCAACCAGCUGCUAUGAAGGAAACACCACAAAUUGAAACUCAUGAAGUUUCCUGCCACACUCAUGGGAUUAUUUUCAUGAUUUAACACCGCAUCAGCAGCUGUGCAACUGAGCAAGAAACAAAAGCAGUAUUUCUAACUCAGUCUUAUAAAAGUACUGUAAUUGUAUUAGAGAUUUGUUGAUCUGAAAUAUGAA